GAAAAAGAAAAGUUUUGUUUUUUGAGGUUAAUUUUUUUUGGUAAAAUUUCCAAAGCACUAUGAAUAUAAAUAAGCAAUAUAAAGAAUAAUCUCAGCUUAAUAACUUUCCUGGUCAACUUUUGUAUGUGCCAUUAUGUGCCAAGUAAAGCAAGAAGAUAAGAAAGUCAGUCACUUCCCAAUCCAAUGAUUUAUCCACCGCUGGCCUUAAUGUCAAAGGCAAGGGAUCCAGGAACUGACAUCUCCAGUCACACAUUUACACCCUGUUAGGUUGUGAAAACGAGCAAUGUAAAAGUAACUUUUAUAUGCCACAUGCAAUUGUCAUGAUAGAGGCUUAUUGCUAUAUAAGUUUACCCUUUCUAGCUAUUUCUGGACUCGGGCUGGCUGGCUGGUUUAAUUCAGAUGUUUUGGCCCAAACUCCUCUCCAAGUUGACUGAUUCAAUCUAACUUCUCUUGGCUUCUAGCUGAACUGCUCUGCUUGGCCUCAAACUAACUCUGGCAAUCUGUUUUAAUCUUCUGCAUCCUUCUGAUUAUCUGACUCAUUCUAUCUUUACCUGCAACCUGUCUCUGUAAAACUGUCCUGGUAAAACUGCCAGCACCUCCUCCGUCUGCCUAUCUGUCUAUCUCUGUCUAUUUUUGCUGCUCUCUUAAGUUGCCUGUCUUUCUUGUAUAUUCUCAUGGGAGUUGGGUGUAUGCUAUCUCUGACUCAUUUCUGACAAACCUUUCUCCAAUUUGCCACUUUGUUUGCCCCUCAGUUAGGCAUCACUUUCAAACAUGGCUGCUUCCUUCUACAAACAAGACUUACCUUCAAUGUUAGGGGUUUAUGGUAUAUACUAAGGGUGUGUCUGUAUUCCAGCCAGAUCAUAUUUUUGGAUGUGAUCUCUUGCCAGAGCAACCAUGUUGCUGGAUUAGAAUUCCUCUACAGAUCAGGAUGGAAUGAAUAUUGGUUUUGAUAAUCAUCUCCACUCUUUCUUUCAAAAUUUUCCUCUCUGGAUACCUGUUUCUGCUUCCACACUGAUGUGUACUAUCUCUAUAGUGUAACUGAGUGGACUUCUCUGUCUCUAUUUGCAUCUGAACUCAUGUCCUCACACCUCUUCAGCAAGCACUCUUAUUCCUGAACCACCUUGGCAGCCUCUGAGAAAGAGUCCCUUCACCUAUAGCACACAAUCCUUUGUAGGUCUAGAUAGGCCCUAGUAGUUGUUUUGUGCUAUAGGAAAGGUUUCCUAAGUAACAUAGGGCAGACAGAAGCACUGAGCUCCUCCUUGUGGGUCUCAGACGUCACCAGAGUCCAAUGUCAUCAAGUUUUAACUGCUAGAACUUGCCUGAGAUGAGACAGCAAAAGGACCUCAUGCCCCAAAAAUGAAAAUGAAAACUUAGUCACUAGAUUAGUCACUAAAAAUUAAUCAUCAUUAAACAAAACCUAAAAACAACAUCUUAUCUGUACCAACCCCCGACUAUUCUAGCCAUAUCAAACCAUGGUCAAUAUAGAAAAUCUCAUCAUUAUGGGAAGAACUUUUAGAUAGUGCUCUGGAGUAUCUAUGUAUUAUCUAUCUAUCUAUCUAUCUAUCUAUCUACCUACCUACCUAUCUACAUGUAUAAAUACACAUAUAUUUAUAUGAGUCAAUACAGCCUCAUCCAGAGUGUGUUAUUUUACAACAUAGCUUCAUGUGGAAUCCAAAAAUCAUGAUUCUUUGUGGCACUUUUAGGCUAAUGCUUGCGAUUUUAUUCUUAGCCCUGUUAGCUAGAAAUAUUCGAGUUAAUUUAUAUUUAAUAGUACAUUUCUCUCCAGAAAAAGAACAAGUUUUAAAACUCUUAUCAGGCCAAGGACAUUUUUAGUUGGUUAGCUGGAUACAAUUUCAAAUUAUUUAGAAGCUCCAGUCUUUAAACAGUAGCGCUCUAGAGGAAACGGGGAAAUAGCGGGGACCACAUCAAGAGCAUCAGAGAGAUGCUUUUUCGUUUUGGUUUGCUGUUUGCAUGGGGCCUGGGACUUGUGAGCCUCUUGCUUCAGCCUCUAGAGUAUCGAGAUUACAGGCAUGAGCCAGUCACCACACCCAGCUCUGACAGACAAUUUCUUGAGAAGUUGUCUCCACCUGGCAGGCGUGUUCCCACUCAUCAUUCCUGAUGAGACUGUGGGGCAGACAUGGCCUUUAGAGUUCUACAGUUAUGAAGUACAGCUGUGCCAUAGUGGCUACAUUUCCUUUAUCUCUUCUGCUGUGCAUGUUAUAGCCAUGAGUCCAGGGCUUGUAAUUAACCUGCUAUUUUUCUCAAGAGACAUAAUUACUGAGAAGUGUGCAAGGUAGAGUCAAGCAAAAAUAAAGUGCCAGUGGCCUUAUUUUUUUCCUCCUCCCCCAACCCGCCCCCCAUUUCUUUUCUCUCUAUCUUCAUUGAUGAGGUGUUUUCUGGGGAACUCUGCAGGCAUAGCUACUAGGAACAACAGGAAUGAUUCAAAUGCAUUGUACAGGGUUGUAUUUGAUUAGGUGUUCUGCCAUUAGAACACAUAGCCAGAGACAAUGUGGUUGAUUAUAAUGGUGAUAUUAAAAUAGAGCACAUAUUAUAUUUUUAUGGCACAUAAAAUCUGUGAUAAAAACAUUUGGAUGUGAAAAAACCAAAAA
rnacentral:lncRNA from 1 species